GCCAUGCUAGCUCAGUCAGUAGAGCAUGAGACUCUUAAUCUCAGGGUUGUGGGUUUGUGCCCCACGCAGCU
rfam:Cricetulus griseus cell line CHO-K1, whole genome shotgun sequence.